GGCCCCGUAGCUCAAUUGAAUAGAGCACUUGACUACGGAUCAAGAGGUUUCAGGUUUGAAUCCUGACGGGGUCACUA
rnacentral:tRNA from 2 species